rnacentral:rRNA from 1 species
UGUUUGUUGUAAGGGCGCACGGUGGAUGCCUGGGCAUGUCAAGCCGAUGAAGGACGUGAAGGGCUGCGUUAAGCCUCGGGGAGUUGCCGAUUAAGCGUUGAUCCGAGGAUGUCCGAAUGGGGAAACCCGGCCGUGGUUAUGUGCGGUCACCUGCUGCUGAAUGAAAUAGGUGGUAUGGGGGUUACGCGGGGAAGUGAAACAUCUCAGUACCCGUAGGAGAAGAAAACAAUAUGUGAUUCCGUUAGUAGUGGCGAGCGAAGGCGGAGGUGAUGGCUAAACUCUAUGCGUGGAUGAUACUUGGUAGGGGUUGCGUGUAGGGGGUUGUGGGAUGCGUGUGUCUGGCUGGCUACCACUGGCUGGGACCCUUGGAUUGUGUGUUAGGGGAAGUGGUGUGGAAUCGCCUGCCGUAGACGGUGAGAGUCCGGUACCUGAAGACAUGUGGUUGGGGUGUGUGCGUAUUUUCCCGAGUAGCAGCGGGCUCGUGGAAUCUGCUGUGAAUCUGCCGGGACCACCCGGUAAGCCUGAAUACUUGGCGUGACCGAUAGUGUAGUUAGUACCGUGAGGGAAGGGUGAAAAGUACCCCGGGAGGGGAGUGAAAUAGUUCCUGAAACCGUGUGCUUACAAUCCGUCAUAGCCCCUGUUUGUGGGGUGGUGGCGUGCCUUUUGAAGAAUGAGCCUGCGAGUCAGCGGCAUGUCGCGAGGUUAACCCGUGUGUGUGGGGUAGUCGUAGCGAAAGCGAAUCCUAAUGAGGGUGAAGUGUAGUGGCAUGUUCUGGACCCGAAGCGGGGUGAUCUACCCAUGGCCAGUGUGAAGCGGUGGUAAAACAUUGUGGAGGCGCGAACCCACUUAGGUUGAAAACUGAGGGGAUGAGCUGUGGGUAGGGGUGAAAGGCCAAUCAAACUCCGUGAUAGCUGGUUCUCCCCGAAAUGCAUUUAGGUGCAGCGUUGCGUGUUUCUUGCCGGAGGUAGAGCACUGGAUGGUCUAGGGGGCCUACAAGCUUACCGAAAUCAGCCAAACUCCGAAUGCCGGUAAGUGAGAGCGUGGCAGUGAGACUGUGGGGGAUAAGCUUCAUAGUCGAGAGGGAAACAGCCCAGAUCAUCAGCUAAGGCCCCUAAGUGGUGACUAAGUGGAAAAGGAUGUGGAGUUGCGUUGACAACCAGGAGGUUGGCUUGGAAGCAGCCAUCCUUGAAAGAGUGCGUAAUAGCUCACUGGUCAAGUGAUUCUGCGCCGACAAUUUAGCGGGGCUCAAGUUAUCCGCCGAAGCUGUGGCAUUCACGCGUGUGACCGGAAGGUUGUGUGGAUGGGUAGGGGAGCGUCGUGUGCGUGUUGAAGCGGUGGGGUGACCUGGUCGUGGAGUGCAUACGAGUGAGAAUGCAGGCAUGAGUAGCGAAUGACGGGUGAGAAACCCGUCCGCCGAUUAUCCAAGGGUUCCAGGGUCAAGUUAAUCUGCCCUGGGUUAGUCGGGACCUAAGGCGAGGCCGACAGGCGUAGUCGAUGGACAACGGGUUGAUAUUCCCGUACCGGCGAAACAACGCCCGUGCCGGGGCACGCGAUGCUAAGCAUGCGAGAUUGUCUGUUGCCUUUCGGGGUGGCGGGUGGUUGAGUCUGUGACCCGAGUGUGUAGUAGGCAAGCUGCGGAGGGACGCAGGAAGGUAGCUCAUCCUCAGCGUUGGUUGUCUGAGGCUAAGUGUGUAGGGUGGGGUGUAGGUAAAUCCGCAUUCCGUGAUGCCUGAGACAUGAUGGGCCUGCACCGUUUUGGUGUGGGUUGAGUGAUCCUAUGCUGCCUAGAAAAGCUUCGUUAGCGAGUUGUUAGCCGCCCGUACCCGAAACCGACACAGGUGGAUAGGUAGAGUAUACCGAGGCGAUCGGGAUAAUCGUGGUGAAGGAACUCGGCAAAAUACCCCCGUAACUUCGGGAUAAGGGGGACCUGAAGCGUAUUAGACUGUGCGUUGAAAGCGUUGAGGGUCGCAGAGACCAGGCCCAAGCGACUGUUUACUAAAAACACAGGUCCGUGCCAACUCGUAAGAGGAUGUAUACGGACUGACUCCUGCCCGGUGCUGGAAGGUUAAGGGGAACUGUCAGCCGCAUUUUGUGUGGUGAAGCGGUGAACUUAAGCCCCAGUAAACGGCGGUGGUAACUAUAACCAUCCUAAGGUAGCGAAAUUCCUUGUCGGGUAAGUUCCGACCUGCACGAAUGGAGUAACGACUUCCCUACUGUCUCAACCAUGAACUCGGUGAAAUUGCAGUACGAGUAAAGAUGCUCGUUUCGCGCAGCAGGACGGAAAGACCCCGUGACCUUUACUAUAGUUUGGUAUUGGUGUUUGGGUUGGCUUGUGUAGGAUAGGUGGGAGACUGUGAAGCUGUCACGCUAGUGGUGGUGGAGUCGUUGUUGAAAUACCACUCUGGUCAAUCUGAGCGUCUAACUUCGGGCCAUGAUCUGGUUCAGGGACAGUGCCUGAUGGGUAGUUUAACUGGGGCGGUUGCCUCCUAAAGUGUAACGGAGGCGCCCAAAGGUUCCCUCAGCCUGGUUGGCAAUCAGGUGUUGAGUGUAAGUGCACAAGGGAGCUUGACUGUGAGACUGACGGGUCGAGCAGGGACGAAAGUCGGGACUAGUGAUCUUCUGGUAGCGAAUGGAAGCGCCAGGACUCAACGGAUAAAAGGUACCCCGGGGAUAACAGGCUGAUCUUGCCCGAGCGUCCAUAGCGACGGCAUGGUUUGGCACCUCGAUGUCGGCUCGUCGCAUCCUGGGGCUGGAGUCGGUCCCAAGGGUUGGGCUGUUCGCCCAUUAAAGCGGCACGCGAGCUGGGUU